rnacentral:rRNA from 1 species
UACGUAGGGUGCGAGCGUUAAUCGGAAUUACUGGGCGUAAAGCGUGCGCAGGCGGUCCGCUAAGACCGAUGUGAAAUCCCCGGGCUUAACCUGGGAACUGCAUUGGUGACUGGCGGGCUGGAGUAUGGCAGAGGGGGGGUAGAAUUCCACGUGUAGCAGUGAAAUGCGUAGAGAUGUGGAGGAAUACCGAUGGCGAAGGCAGCCCCCUGGGCCAAUACUGACGCUCAUGCACGAAAGCGUGGGGAGCAAACAGG